UCUGUAAAGUCCGUGGUAAGAAUUACAUAUC
rnacentral:piRNA from 1 species